rnacentral:lncRNA from 1 species
CUUGAAUCGCUACUCUUGCCAUUUCAUUAGGCAACUUCCAAGCACAAAUUCAUACAGAGAAGUUACCUUCCUCUCUACCGCACUAGCAGGCUGGCGCUGAGAUGGGCAGGUGCUGCAGCAGCCCGGCUGGAAGCGAUGCAGCAUCCAGGACGACGGAGGAAGGGGCAGAGAGGGACCUCCGCUUUCCAGGCUGCCUUUUAUACUGCCUCUGGUCACCUGACAUGGAACGUACCCUAACCUAAUCAGUUACCUGUACCUUAAUUGCAAUUAACUUAAUCCAAUUACAUGACCUGGAAAGGUCUAUCUGCACAGCCCACUCUAAGAUCAUGUCCACUGCUGACAGACAUUCUAAAACCUACUUGUACAGCUGCAAGCUUUGAACAAUAGAUGUUCCCCGUCAGACAUGUAACACUGGUGCCUGUACCCCUGUCUUCUUUUCCAUCUUUUUUGUUGUUUUGUUUUGUUUUGUUUUAAAAAAUGUGGUAAAAUAGACACCUUUUAAUUGGACCACAUUUUGUCUAUCUCGACGUAGGCCUCAGUGUCAUCAAGGAGACUCUCCUUGACAUGCAGUCACGGCCAUGAUCCAUCUUCAGAGCUUCUCUUUCUUCCCCAAGGCUGGCGCUGAGAUGGGCAGGUGCUGCAGCAGCCCCGCUGGAAGCGAUGCAGCAUCCAGGACGACGGAGGAAGGGGCGGAGAGGGACCUCUGCUUUCCAGGCUGCCUUUUAUACUGCCUCUGGUCACCUGACAUGGAACGUACCCUAACCUAAUCAGUUACCUGAGGCGCUUGGAAACCACCGUGAAUUGGACCGCACUGGGAAACACAGAUGAGGAAAGUCAACAACGCUUUGUCCUUCAGUGCCUGGCUCCUUUUUCAGCUCGUCUUGCGACUCCAGGCAUUAUGCCUGAAAAGUCUCCCGGACGCCUGUGAGGCUGUAAUUCCCUGGGUCCCAUUGCCAUGUCUCUGGAUUUGCGAAGAUCCACCGCACCUUCUGUGGAACUCCCGUGUCGGUGAACUUUUGUGCCACGGCCCCUAAUUCUGCCCAUGGUCAUCCGCACCUGCACGACUUAGGGUCCAUGUUCCUUGGACGGGAAGAGACAGGCAGGAGUCGGAAUGAUGAACCAGCACACUGGGGCGUUUUCUCAUGUAGCCCAAGUGACCCCAUGGUCUUCUCGAGCUUUGGAACCAGUCGCGUCCCCUUUGACACUGCACCCGGCUCCCAGUCUCUCAAUCUUGUUGGCCCUCCGGCGAUCUCCCGUUGGAUGGAUUGCUCCUGCUGAAACUCGAGUCCCCUUUGAUUUGCGCUUCAUUAAUUAUUCAUGAUUCAGGUUCGAAGGCCUGCUGACGACCCCCUGUGGCCGUUCUCUGAGCUUUCCUGUCACAUCGUUUCCUUCCACGCUCUUUGGUUCCUUAUGGUCCUGCUCCUUCUGCUGUCAGAGGAGCAGAGAGUUGAUCUUAUUCAUUCUGGAUACGGAUACUUUCUAGGUGAUCUGGAUAAUCAAGAUAACGACCCUCAACAGCGGCGGAGAGGGAGCAGCCAGUUGGUGUGUCUCAGAAAAUCCCGCUGAGUUCCGAGGCCUCCUAGAUGUGGAAUCCUGCUGAGAGUUGUUCCCAGGUCAGAGAAUGGAGAGAGCCUGUGCAUGAUGGGAUAUCCCCGCCUAGAUCUUUCAGUGAGUCUCUGCCUCAGCUACUCUUAGGAUCAGGGGGAGAACCAUGGUGUCAGACAUCCGGAAAGAAGACGGGAUGAAUGUUUUACCUCUGAAGUACAUCCCAAAUGUGGGAGUUAACUUCAGCUUUGCUGGGGUCUAUUUGGCCAGUGAAACUCUGCCUGGUUCCUUCGCACAUCCGGAAGCCACUUCACGGGGGGCCGUCGCAACUGGAACCACACACUUGGCAUCGGCGGUUGAGCCAAAUGGGGACUCGUGGUGCAAGCAACGCUCCCCACGUGUUAGCGUGCGUGAGAUUCGGUUGGCGGAAUUUUACUAGGUGCGUGUUGGUAGAGUGGGGCUGAGGUUUUCUUGCUCCUGUGGAUGUAUAGGAAGUCAAAGGUCCUGCCCAGCCCUGCGGUCCCCUCAGUCAACUCUGUUUCGGAGACGUAACGAUUUGGAUUGCCAACAAGUCAAGAAAUGUUCAAGCCCUUGGAUGUAGGGUAAAGAAAGAGAGAUCAGACUGUCACUGUGUCUAUGUAGAAGGGGAAGACAUAAGAGACUCCAUUUUGAAAAAGAC